GAUGAAGAACGUAGCGAAAUGCGAUAAGUAAUGUGAAUUGCAGAAUUCAGUGAAUCAUCGAAUCUUUGAACGCACAUUGCGCCCGCCAGUAUUCUGGCGGGCAUGCCUGUUCGAGCGUCAUUUCCACCAUCAGGCCCCCGGGCCUGUGUUGGGGACCUGCGGCUGCCCGCAGGCCCCGAAAUUCAGUGGCGGUCGCGCCGUAGCAACCGAGCGUAGUAACUAAAACGUCUCGCUCUGGCUCGCUGGGCGCGCUCCGGCCGUAAAACACCCCCCCUUUUCGCAAAGGUUGACCUCGGAUCAGGUAGGAAUACCCGCUGAACUUAAGCAUAUCGAUAAGCGGAGGA
rnacentral:misc_RNA from 1 species